UACGAAGGGGGCUAGCGUUGUUCGGAAUCACUGGGCGUAAAGCGCACGUAGGCGGAUCUUUAAGUCAGGGGUGAAAUCCCGAGGCUCAACCUCGGAACUGCCUUUGAUACUGGGGAUCUCGAGUCCGGGAGAGGUGAGUGGAACUGCGAGUGUAGAGGUGAAAUUCGUAGAUAUUCGCAAGAACACCAGUGGCGAAGGCGGCUCUCUGGGACGGUACUGACGCUGAGACGCGAAAGCGUGGGGAGCGAACAGG
rnacentral:rRNA from 1 species